rnacentral:rRNA from 1 species
GGAUCGUAUAGGGCGAUUGUAUUUAGCGGCGCGAUUCGCCCUUGUGCCAGCAGCCGCGGUAAUUCCAGUUCCAAUAGCGUAUAUUAAAGUUGUUGUGGUUAAAAAGCUUUGUAGUUGAACCUUGGGCCUGGCUGGCCGGUCCGCCUCACCGCGUGCACUGGUCCGGCCGGGCCUUUCCCUCUGUGGAACCCCAUACCCUUCACUGGGCGUGGCGGGGAAACAGGACAUUUACUUUGAAAAAAUUAGAGUGCUCCAGGCAGGCCUAUGCUCGAAUACAUUAGCAUGGAAUAAUAAAAUAGGACGCGCGGUUCUAUUUUGUUGGUUUAUAGGACCGCCGUAAUGAUUAAUAGGGACAGUCGGGGGCAUCAGUAUUCAACUGUCAGAGGUGAAAUUCUUGGAUCAGUUGAAGACUAACUACUGCGAAAGCAUUUGCCAAGGAUGUUUUCAUUAAUCAGGAACGAAAGUUAGGGGGAUCGAAGACGAUCAGAUACCGUCGUAGUCUUAACCAUAAACUAUGCCGACUAGGGGAUCGGACGGUGUUAUUCAUGACCCGUUCGGCACCUUACGAGAGAAUCAAAGUGCUUUGGGCUCCAGGGGGGAGUAUGGUCGCAAGGCUGAAAACUUAAAGAAAUUGACGGAAGGGCACCACCCAGGGGUGGAAGCCUGCGGCUUUAAUUUGACUCAACACGGGUAAACUCACCAGGUCCAGACACAAUAAGGGAUUGAACAGAAUUGAGAGGUCUUUUCUUGAAUUUUUCGGUGGGGGUGCAGGCCCGGUCCUAGUUUGUGGUGGGAUUUGUCUGCUUUAUUUGCAAUAGCAAACCGAAACCUAAACCUGCCUAAUAGCCCGGGUUUUGCCCCGGCCAGGCGCCUC